rnacentral:rRNA from 1 species
CACGUAGGGCGCGAGCGUUGUCCGGAAUUAUUGGGCGUAAAGAGCUCGUAGGCGGUUUGUCGCGUCUGCUGUGAAAACUGGAGGCUCAACCUCCAGCCUGCAGUGGGUACGGGCAGACUAGAGUGGCGGUAGGGGAGAUUGGAAUUCCUGGUGUAGCGGUGGAAUGCGCAGAUAUCAGGAGGAACACCGAUGGCGAAGGCAGAUCUCUGGGCCGUAACUGACGCUGAGGAGCGAAAGCAUGGGGAGCGAACAGG